CCAUUCACUGGUUCAAAGAUUUCAGGCUAAAAAACAUACAGUUCAGUCCAGAGGUUAACAAACUAUGGUCCAAAAAAAAAAAAAAAAAACUAUGGUCCACAAACAAAAUCCUGCUUACAGCUUUUGUUUAUAAAUAAAGUUUUAUUGGAACACAACCACACUCAUUCAUUUACACAUGGCCUAUGACUGCCUUCACAGCAUAAUGCUGAGUAGUUGUCACGGAGACUGUAUAGCCCACAAAGCCUGAAAUAUUUACUAUCUGGCUCUUUACAAAGCAAUGUGCUGACCAUUGUACUGGGAGGCUGGGAGGGCAAAGUCAUUUGGAAUUGGUUGGUUGGCUUUAUGUAUGUCAACAGAACAGAGAACUAUGUGACCAGAAAAAGGGACCAGGGUUGCUGUCUGAAGGGAAGAAAACUUUGGAGAAUGAGAAUAAGAGACUAAAAGGAAAUACACACCAAAAGGCGAAAUGUUGGAGGAUCACCAAGAUGUGGGGAGAGAGGGAAGCUAUUGUUCCAGCACAUUCCAUUCCUGUUAAAUCAACUUGAUAUACGCGAUAGAUUAAGUCUGCACUGCAGAUCAAGAACCCCUAAGCUAAAAAGGAAAGUGAAGAAGAUCCACCAAAGAAUAAAGACGAACACUCUGGCUGCA
rnacentral:lncRNA from 12 species